rnacentral:rRNA from 1 species
GUCCCCUUCGGGGGCAGAGUGACAGGUGGUGCAUGGUUGUCGUCAGCUCGUGUCGUGAGAUGUUGGGUUAAGUCCCGCAACGAGCGCAACCCUUGAUCUUAGUUGCCAGCAUUCAGUUGGGCACUCUAAGGUGACUGCCGGUGACAAACCGGAGGAAGGUGGGGAUGACGUCAAAUCAUCAUGCCCCUUAUGACCUGGGCUACACACGUGCUACAAUGGACAGAACAAAGGGCAGCGAAACCGCGAGGUUAAGCCAAUCCCACAAAUCUGUUCUCAGUUCGGAUCGCAGUCUGCAACUCGACUGCGUGAAGCUGGAAUCGCUAGUAAUCGCGGAUCAGCAUGCCGCGGUGAAUACGUUCCCGGGCCUUGUACACACCGCCCGUCACACCACGAGAGUUUGUAACACCCGAAGUCGGUGAGGUAACCUUUAUGGAGCCAGCCGCCGAAGGUGGGACAGAUGAUUGGGGUGAAGUCGUAACAAGGUAGCCGUAUCGGAAGGUGCGGCUGGAUCACC